CCUACGGGAGGCAGCAGUGGGGAAUAUUGGACAAUGGGCGAAAGCCUGAUCCAGCAAUGCCGCGUGAGUGAUGAAGGCCUUAGGGUUGUAAAGCUCUUUUACCAGGGAUGAUAAUGACAGUACCUGGAGAAUAAGCUCCGGCUAACUCCGUGCCAGCAGCCGCGGUAAUACGGAGGGAGCUAGCGUUGUUCGGAAUUACUGGGCGUAAAGCGUACGUAGGCGGUUAUUCAAGUCAGAGGUGAAAGCCCGGGGCUCAACCCCGGAACUGCCUUUGAAACUAGAUAGCUAGAAUCUUGGAGAGGUUAGUGGAAUUCCGAGUGUAGAGGUGAAAUUCGUAGAUAUUCGGAAGAACACCAGUGGCGAAGGCGACUAACUGGACAAGUAUUGACGCUGAGGUACGAAAGCGUGGGGAGCAAACAGGAUUAGAUACCCUGGUAGUCCACGCCGUAAACGAUGAUAACUAGCUGUUCGGGCACUUGGUGCUUGAGUGGCGCAGCUAACGCAUUAAGUUAUCCGCCUGGGGAGUACGGCCGCAAGAUUAAAACUCAAAUGAAUUGACGG
rnacentral:rRNA from 1 species